GGUGGAGUACUCACAGCAGCUCCUGUUCUUUGAGCACGUUCAGCGGGCUAGGCUGUUCUGCACGGUCUCCGAAACGUUUAUUCUUCACCCUGUAAGGAGAGCUCUGUUAUUAUCCCCAGGUAUCAGCAACAUGUGUGGGAACAAAGAGCCACAGUUGAUUCAAACGUGUUCGGUUGGUAUGUCGGGAAAGCCUUCACAGGAGCUGGCGUCUGACCCAGGGGCGCCUGGGUGGCUCAGUCCUUAGGUGUCUGUCU